rnacentral:rRNA from 1 species
GACGAACGCUGGCGGCGUGCUUAACACAUGCAAGUCUACGAGAAUAAGGUAGCAAUAUCUUUAGUAAAGUGGCGCACGGGUGAGUAACACGUAAGUAACCUACCUUUAGAUUUGGAAUAACCCCGAGAAAUCGGGGUUAAUACCGAAUGAUGCAGCGGCACCUCAUGGUGAUGUUGUUAAAGUCUAUAUGACGUCUAAAGAUGGGCUUGCGUCUGAUUAGCUAGUUGGUGAGGUAACGGCCCACCAAGGCUACGAUCAGUAGCUGGUCUGAGAGGAUGAUCAGCCACACUGGAACUGAGACACGGUCCAGACGCCUACGGGAGGCAGCAGUGAGGAAUAUUGGGCAAUGCCCGGAAGGGUGACCCAGCAACGCCGCGUGGAGGAUGAAUGUCGUAAGAUUGUAAACUCCUGUUAGAGGGGAAGAAUAAUUCCGAUCGACUCGGAAAUUGACUGUACCCUCAGAGAAAGCCCCGGCUAACUACGUGCCAGCCGCCGCGGUAAUAC